UGAAAAACCUAUAAUACAAAACCAACCGAAGCCCAGUCUUCUCUCCUGAAGAGUCUUACCACCAGAGCCCAACCGUCUUCGUACUCUCCUUCUCACACUUUCUUCUCCCUGAAGCUCUUUCAUUCUCAUCUCCUCUCCCUCACUCACCAUCGAACUCUCUUCUUUUCCUCCCCUCUCCCUCACCACCGAACUGAUCUCCUCCCUCAUCUUCUUCUUCGUCUCACCCCCAACUUCCAAGGUUGGAACCACCGAACUCCCUCCCGCUCAUCUCUUAUCUUCCUCCACCACCGAAUUCCACCUUCCUCAUCUCUUCUCGUCCUUCCUCCUCCCUUCUCAUCUCUCCCACUCUUCCCACCAAAGUUGAACCUAUUCCCUCAAGCUCUCUCACACUCAGUCCCUUCUCCCUCACUACCGAACUCUCCCUAAUGCUCUCACCGAACUCCCAUCCCUCUCAGCCCUGAGACCAUUGCAGUAGGACCUUCUUCCUGAUCUCUCUCUCUCUCUCUCCUAGCUUCCGCUCACCUUCUCCCAUAAGGAAAACCCUAGCCACCGAACUCCCCCUAUUUCUUCUUCGUCUAACCUAAACCAGCUCCCCUCCUCCAACACUACUACGCCGAAACUCCUCACCAUCAUCUCCAUCCCCGCUUGUCCCUUCAACCAAAAUAAAAAAAAAAUAAGAGAAAAAAGAGCAGGUUAGAGGAGACUCCUCCAUUCAGGUAGAAGAGAGAAGGAAAAGGAAGAAAGAAGGGAAGGAAGAAAACGUACUCGGCAUCAAGCUUGAGCAUUUCCCUCCCACCAAAUUUAGCACAAUAUUUUGGGGCUUCUUGGGCAUCAACCGAGUUAGGAGCUUUCCCAUUCAAUCAGACCAUCAACACUCACCUCAUUGCCUCUCCCAACUUUGAAAGAAAAGCCAUAAACAAAGAGCAAACAGUAGGGACGAGCAUUUUCUCUACGAUCGGUAUUGCUGAGCUCAAGCACCAAUUGCUCGGCUGAGGCCAUCUUCUGAUCUUUGUUAGCUUGAACAAUGUUUGCAUUAAUGGAAGAAGCACUUGGGCCACCAUAAGGAGGGUUGAGUGAAAGUGAUGGGGGCAGAUUCACCAUCAACGGUCGUGUAUCGUUUUUGAUACCCGAGUUUCUUCUGGGAGUUGGAGGAGGGAGAAAGAGAAGUGACGAUGUUCUUUAUUACUUUUCUUUUCCUCUUAUGCCUCUCAUGUUAAUACCAAAA